rnacentral:rRNA from 1 species
AUUGAACGCUGGCGGCAUGCCUUACACAUGCAAGUCGAACGGCAGCGGACCUUCGGGUGCCGGCGAGUGGCGAACGGGUGAGUAAUAUAUCGGAACGUACCUUUCAGUGGGGGAGUAACGUAGCGAAAGUUACGCUAAUACCGCAUAUUCUGUGAGCAGGAAAGCAGGGGAGUCGCAAGACCUUGCGCUGAUUGAGCGGCCGAUAUCAGAUUAGCUAGUUGGUGAGGUAAAGGACUCACCAAGGCGACGAUCUGUAGCGGGUCUGAGAGGAUGAUCCGCCACACUGGAACUGAGACACGGUCCAGACUCCUACGGGAGGCAGCAGUGGGGAA